UGGAACUUAGAAUUACUUAAUGUUCUGGAAGAUAAGCAGAAAUGAUUGAACACGAUGUUCAAUCAAGCCGCCAUUGAGCCAUGGAUGGCGAAUUGGCGGCGGUUUCGUGUGACGAGAUAAUGUGUGCCAGAACAUUUAGUAAUUCGUAGUU
rnacentral:ncRNA from 1 species